AGAGUUUGUAUCCUGGCUCAGAACGAACGCUGGCGGCAUGCCUAACACAUGCAAGUCGAACGAGACCUUCGGGUCUAGUGGCGCACGGGUGCGUAACGCGUGGGAAUCUGCCCUUGGGUUCGGAAUAACAGUUAGAAAUGACUGCUAAUACCGCAUAAUGCAGCGGCUCGACAUCGAGACAGUUGUUAAAGGAGCAAUCCGCCUUUUGAGCAGCCUGCGGCAGAUUAGCUAGUUGGUAAGGUAAUGGCUUACCAAGGCUACGAUCUGUAACCGACCUGAGAGGGUGGUCGGUCACACUGACACUGAAUAACGGGUCAGACUCCUACGGGAGGCAGCAGUCGGGAAUUUUGGGCAAUGGGCGAAAGCCUGACCCAGCAACGCCGCGUGAAGGAUGAAGUAUUUCGGUAUGUAAACUUCGUAAGAAUAGGAAGAAUAAAUGACGGUACUAUUUGUAAGGUCCGGCUAACUACGUG
rnacentral:rRNA from 1 species